UACAAUCCGAAGACGUGAUGCGGACCGAAUUAAGAGUAGGGAAGUGUGUGAGCCAUGCGUCAAGAAAAGCCGCUAUUGUUUUACUUAAGCCCGUACCGUAAACCGACACAGGUGGAUGAGGAGAGAAUCCUAAGGCCGACGGGAGAAGCAUUGUUAAGGAACUCGGCAAAAUGACUCCGUAACUUCGGGAGAAGGAGUGCCAGCGAGAGCUGGCCGCAGAGAAUUGGCCCAAGCAACUGUUUAGCAAAAACACAGGUCUAUGCAAAACCGUAAGGUGAAGUAUAUGGGCUGACGCCUGCCCGGUGCUGGAAGGUUAAGAGGAGGGGUUAGCGGUAACGCGAAGCUUUGAAUUUAAGCCCCAGUAAACGGCGGCCGCAACAAUAACGGUCCUAAGGUAGCGAAAUUCCUUGUCGGGUAAGUUCCGACCCGCACGAAAGGCGUAAUGAUUUGGGCACUGUCUCAACAAUGCACCCGGUAAAAUUGAAAUACCAGUGAAGAUGCUGGUUACCUGCGCCAGGACGGAAAGACCCCAUGGAGCUUUACUCCAGCUUGAUACUGGGAUUCGGUAUUGCAUGUACAGGAUAGGUGGGAGGCUAGGAAGUGAUAACGCCAGUUGUCACAGAGCCGCUGUUGGGAUACCACCCUUGCAGUAUUGGAUUUCUAACCAGCGACCAUGAACUGGUCGGGGGACAAUGUCAGGUGGGGAGUUUGACUGGGGCGGUCGCCUCCGAAAGGGUAUCGGAGGCGCUCAAAGGUUCCCUCAGAAUGGACGGAAACCGUUCGAAGAGUGCAAAGGCAGAAGGGAGCUUGACUGCGACACCGACGGGUGGAGCAGGUACGAAAGUAGGACUUAGUGAUCCGGUGGUAUAAAGUGGGAUUGCCAUCGCUCAACGGAUAAAAGCUACCCUGGGAUAACAGGCUUAUCACUCCCAAGAGUUCACAUCGACGGAGUGGUUUGGCACCUCGAUGUCGGCUCAUCGCAUCCUGGGGCUGAAGUAGGUCCCAAGGGUUGGGCUGUUCGCCCAUUAAAGCGGUACGCGAGCUGGGUUCAGAACGUCGUGAGACAGUUCGGUCCCUAUCCGGCGUGGGCGUAGGAUAUUUGAGAGGAGCUGUCCUUAGUACGAGAGGACCGGGAUGGACUGGCCGCUGGUGUAUCUGUUGCAUACCAAAUGCAUGGCAGAGUAGCCAAGCCGGGACGGGAUAAACGCUGAAGGCAUCUAAGCGUGAAGCCCCCCUCAAGAUGAGAUAUCCCUACGUAAGUAGUAAGACCCCUUGAAGACGACGAGGUAGAUAGGUCAGAGGUGGAAGUACAGUAAUGUAUGGAGCUGACUGAUACUAAUCGGUCGAGGGCAUGAUC
rnacentral:rRNA from 1 species